GCGAGACGGUACCCGCGCCCCACAGUCCACCCGCUCCUCGGAGUCCCCCCGCGCCCCGGAGUCCACCCGCGCCCCGGAGUCCACCCGCGCAGGUCCACUUCUCCAUCCCUGCUCUCGACCUCCGCCCCUGCGGUGGGGGAAGUUCCUGGGGCGGUGGCUGGGACCAGGCCGGGUUUUAGGCGGGCGCAGAUUUCCGGGCUAACUUUCCUCGCCGUCUCAGCGCGGGAAGGGGGAAAUGGGAAACCCGGGCCAGAGCAGCGGAGCUUCCCAGCCGCACACUUCCUCCCUCCAGCCGUUUGUCUCGGCAGGGGAGGGCCCAGGCAGCCAAGCCGGCAGGCCCACUGGUUAUCCGACCUUGUGCUCUGGCCGUGGGUGGAGACCUUACAUCCAGCUCAGAGCGCCUCCUCCCAUCCCCUGUGUCCUCUAGGCCUCCCCAGACUUUGCCUUUUAGCCUUCCAGUGAAACAAGUUCUGUAUCCAAGAUAUACAAUUAAGUGGACAAAGCAGAUUGCAGAAAGUCUUUUCGUAGCUCACAAGGGGACAUCAAAGAUGACAAAGAGGAGUGGAAGAAGACAGAGAGAAUCAAUGUGAGGAGCCUGGAACAGGGCUCUGAAUUGUCUUCCCACAGUGAAAUCACUUGUCUAUUGCUGAGCCAAGAAUUUGACUCUGAGCAUCUAGGAUGAGAAAGAAGAACUGGCACCUACGCCAUCUCUGCCCCUCGGGACUGACUAUUUUGUCUUCUAGUAAAAUUGAUGCUCCAAGAAGAUACACAACGUUGACCAUGUGGAUUCAGAUAUCUCCCGCUUGGAUCUCAGCCUGGAUCUUGUUGUUUGAGAAGCAUAGAUUAGCUACAGAAUGCCAUGUCAUACAUCCAAUAAAAUUCAACUCUGCAAGCAUGAGAGAGAAGAGGAAGGAAAAGAGAGAAUCUGAAGUGUUUCCACAGUCCCAGAAAAGAGGAGGA
rnacentral:lncRNA from 10 species